rnacentral:lncRNA from 1 species
CUUUCUCUAUUCUCUCUACGUUCAAUGUCUGCUUCUCCUCUUUGUUUCUAAAUUCCUCUCUGCGUUCCCUCCCGCUCCGAUUUCACUCUCUGAGAUCUAUGGCUAGUUUAAUGCAACGUUGAGUUUGGUGACGCUCUGAAUUGAAUUCUGGACUGUGAAUAUAUACAUGACGACAGAGGCUCAAUAUGGCGAGUUUAUGGUUACGGUACUCUUCUCCUUGCUUAUUGAUGAUUUUAGUUCCUGCUUAUUCUAAUUGUUUUAGUAUUAUCUAGAGCUAUACUUGUGAAAUGGAAAAUAUCAUCUGCAUUGUUGUCAUUUGAGUUUUGACAUGCAUUAGCUAUUCAAUUUUUGUUAAUUGGUUGGGUUUAUUGCGUCAAAGCUUGAUUAAUUGUGAUUCACCCAAAUUAUUUAUGGAGGCUAGACGUUUUCCGUAAAUUGAUUCUUUUCCGUCAUUAAAUAAUGGAAAAGUUGUAGUAAACUGUGCUAAUCAGUUUUGUUGGUCAAUUAGGGCAAAUAUAACCCAAUUUUAAGAUGGCAAGGACACCAUUGACGCCAAUAAUUAAUGAAGAGUAUAUAUAGACCAUUUCAUAUAGUUGAGCAAAUUUGACUCUUUGCCCUUUGAGCAAUUUGGAUGUCAAGCUUGAAUUACAAUAGAAAAUGAACAAAAUACUGCAGUUAAAGUAACAACUAAACUGCAAAAAACGAUGAGACAUCUUUGCCUCGGGAUAGAUGGUCAUAUACUGCAAAAAUAAUGCAACCUACUGCACCCAAGGGUGAGAGACCUAGUGGUCAAUGAAGUGGUUGAGAACUCUGAGGUCAAUUCUUUAUGGAAGAAACAUAAUAUCUAAAAUUUAUCCAAUAAGCACACACAUAUGACAUAACAAAACAGUUUUAGGGACGGGUGUAACGUCAUCAUAUUCUAAUUAAAUCUUGUGUUCAGGUUUGAGACUAAUGAUUUGAACUUCAUUAAUGUGCCCUUUUCCUUAUUAAUCCCACAACAUUUUCUAAUAAAUUAGUUGCAGCCAUUAAAUUUUGCUUAACGGAAGUAUUUCACUCGACUUAUAUAUAAAGUUAACCAAAAAAAAAUACUCAAUCAAACAAAGUGAGACGUAGUAUCAGAUAUACUGCGCAAAUCAAAGUAACAGCCAGUCAGCAAGCUUCCUACAUAUGUUUGACAUAGUUGAUACACCUAAAAAAGCACAAUCAUGCACACAUUUUUUUCACCACAUUACUAUAGAGAAUUAAGAAAAGAUCAUUGCAACUGCAAGCUUGUUGCAAACAAGUGAACCAAUAUCUUCUAUCGAGCAGCUAGUAUUGUGAUGGGGGUGUCACUCACUGUAAUCUGUGCAGAUUGGCUAGGAGUGAAAUCACCACCCGGUGCAUUUCCUUCUAUGUAAAAACCUGGUUGUUUAGCCAACGGCAACACACCUUCAUUGUUUAACAUCAGAACUGCGGAAGACAUACUUAGACGAUCUUCAGGACAUUGUUGGACACAUAAUAAACCAACACUAAUUGAUCGUACCACUUCAGAUGUUGAACAAGAAUCACCUAGGCAUUCAUCAAGUAGUUCUAUUGACCUACCUUGUAUAUAAAGUUUCCAUGCCUGUAGAUAUUGCAAGCUUAUUAGCAGGGGUCGUUUUACAAGAUAUUUGUUACUAGUAUAUAACAUACACCAAGGAAUAAAUAAAAUUAAACAACUGCACCCAAGGGUGUGACCUAGUGGUCGAUGAUCAGUUUCAAAUUCCAGCAGAGACAAAAAACACUAGGCAAUUUCUUCCCAUCAGUCCUAACCUUGUUGGACAGAGUUACCCGGUACCUAUUGGUGGUGGGAGUUUGCAGGUAUCCCAUGGAAUAAGUUGAGGUGUGCGCAAGCUGGCCUCGGCACCACGACAACAACAACAUAACUAGUAUAAUCCCACAAGUGGAGUUUGGGGAGGGUAGUGUGUAUGUAGGCCUUACCACUACCUCGUUGGUAGAGAGACUAUUUUUGAUAGACGCUUGGCUCAAGUAUGUUGGCUCCAACACCUCGGUUAUCAAAAAAAUAAGAAAUAAAACAAGUAAAAUCUUACAUGCCCGAGUAGAUUAAGGUUAUGAUCUGGAUGAGAGAAUUUUCUGUUGCUUUUCCCACUGACAAUUUCCAAUACUAAAAUACCAAAGCUAAAUACAUCUGAUUUUACUGAGUAUUUUCCGUGCAAUGCAUAUUCCGGUGAGAGGUACCCACUGCAUUAAAAUGUGCGCAACAUUAUAAUUAGUAAUGCUGGAAAACAUGCCUUUACUAACUGAAGAUUCUUCUUUGGUUCAAAUUAUUAUCCAGUAAAUCUUAUCAAAAUAAUACUAUCCAGUGGAAGGUUCUUACUAUGUUCCAACUACUCGGUUUGUCAUGGCUCCAAUGUCAUCCUCUUCACAUAUUUUUGCCAAGCCGAAGUCUAAUAUCUUUGGAUUCAUGUCCUUGUCUAGCAGAAUGUUGUUAGCUUUCAGGUCUCUGUGAAUUAUUCUCAAUUGAGAAUCUUGAUGCAGAUACAUAAGUCCCCGAGCUAUACCAUUGAUAAUGUGAAAUCGCUUAGGCCAGUCUAAUGCCUUGCUUUGUGUGUCAUCUGCCAAUUUUUUUUGUUGGGUCAUUAACUGACUAAUUGGUUAUAGGAGAAAGUAGUAUUAAAUACUCCCACAACAGGUUUGGUCUAUCAAUAUUUUUCCUGCUUUAUGGGGCUUUCAUAAUUGGAACAAAAUUACCAAAGUACUACUAGUUACUUUUACUUCAAAAUAAAAAAGAUUAAUGAAGUAUUACUAUAGGCAUCAUCACUGAAACACAAUUAUUUAUUUAAUUUGCACAAUAUUGGAUGGAGAAUAGUACCAAAUAUAAAUGAAUCAAGACUCCCAUUCGGCAAGUACUCAUAGAUCAACAUCUUUUCUUCCCCGUCACUGCAGCAACCAAGAAUCUUCACCAGAUUCCUGUGCUGAAGUCUUGCAACAUAUAAAACUUCAUUCUUGAACUCACCUUCUCCUUGUUUGGAAGUUCUGGACAGCCGUUUGACAGCUAUUUCCCGUCCUUCAAGUAUGCCCUAAACAUCACAAUUUCUGCAUGUUAAUAUUUUCAUUACCUUACUUGAUGUAGGAAGUACACAGAGUCAAUUGUGUUCCAAUUAGAAAGAGACAAUCAGUUUGUGUUCCACCGUAUCCUUGUUCUUCCUUAGCUAUUGUGUAUGUCUCCUUCGGUUUCACAAGCCAAAGCUUUAUUUCAUUAUGCAUUUCAUCAUACAACUUCUAUACUGAAUCUAAAGAUGAAACUUUACUCUAUAGGAUCAGGAAGUUUUUGCCUGUGCACCAGUUAUACCUUGUAAACCGGUCCAAAGCCCCCCUCUCCAAUCUUUCUGUCUAUUGAAAAGUUAUUGGUAGCCUUCAUUAUGGUAGAUAAGUCAAACAUUGGUAUCUCAAAUUCUUCCUCACAAUUACCACUAUGAUCCAUCUUGUAGUUGCCAUUGCGUCCGGACCUACCUGCCUGCAAACGAAGUGAAUUUUGUUUAAGCUGUGAUCCAGACCAAAUAUUAAAGUUCUUCACUUUUCUUUGAAUUAUGUUCCUUGAUUUUGCUAAGAUGUCAAUAAAAAAUGAGAUUUAUCCUAUUUUACCUUUCCUUUUGAGCUGUAAAGCCUUCUUCCUUCUUCUAUGGAAGAUCAACAUGCUAAGAAUUACCAGAAUCAGACCAACUGAUAAUGGCAGAAUCCAGAAAAGUACUUUUCUUUUCUUUCCAUCUGAUUUCUCCAGACUAUCUGCAAGUAUCCAUUCCGCAAAAAUAAUCAAUUUCACUUUCUGUCCAAUCCACGAGGGAGAUAAUUUUAUAUUGAAUUAAAAAAGAUUCUGUAAGCCUUUGGAGUACUGCACAUCAUUUUGAAUUUGUUGAUAUUGAGUUGUAAGGGUUCUAGAAUUCAAUAUAAUGCAAGUCAUUUUUAAUUUUUGAAUGUUACUAUAAAUCUCUUUAAUUUUGAGAAGAUUUUUUCUUUGAUUCAAGCCGCAUGCAUCUCAACUUCUUGUUCUACAGAAAACUAAAUACCUAUCAAUUGGUUCCAAAGAAGUGACUGCAACCAUACAUUCUUUUACUAUUUUCAGGUAAUCCAUC